rnacentral:rRNA from 1 species
GACGAACGCUGGCGGCGUGCUUAACACAUGCAAGUCGAACAGUGGCGAACGGGUGAGUAAUGCUUGGGAAUCUGGCUUAUGGAGGGGGAUAACUACGGGAAACUGUAGCUAAUACCGCGUACCAUAGGAUGAGCCCAAGUGGGAUUAGGUAGUUGGUGAGGUAAAGGCUCACCAAGCCGACGAUCUCUAGCUGGUCUGAGAGGAUGACCAGCCACACUGGGACUGAGACACGGCCCAGACUCCUACGGGAGGCAGCAGUGGGGAAUAUUGCGCAAUGGGGGCAACCUGACGCAGCCAUGCCGCGUGAAUGAAGAAGGCCUUCGGGUUGUAAAGUUCUUUCGGUAGCGAGGCGUUAACUACAGAAGAAGCACCGGCUAACUCCGUGCCAGCAGCCGCGGUAAUUC